rnacentral:rRNA from 1 species
UACGAAGGGGGGCUAGCGUUGCUCGGAAUCACUGGGCGUAAAGGGCGCGUAGGCGGCCAUUCAAGUCGGGGGGUGAAAGCCCAGGGCUCAACCCUGGAAUUGCCUUCGAUACUGUUUGGCUAGAGACCGGAAGAGGUAAGUGGAACUGCGAGUGUAGAGGUGAAAUUCGUAGAUAUUCGCAAGAACACCAGUGGCGAAGGCGGCUUACUGGUCCGGUUCUGACGCUGAGGCGCGAAAAGCGUGGGGGAGCAAACAGG